CAGAUGUGAAAGACCCGGGGCGUCAACCUCGGAAUAGCAUUUGAAACUAGGCAGACUAGAGUACUGUAGAGGGGGGUAGGAAGUUUCAGGUGUAGCGGUGAAAUGCGUAGAGAUCUGAAGGAAUACCGGUGGCGAAGGCGGCCCCCUCGGACAGAUACUGACACUCAGAUGCGAAAGCGUGGGGAGCAAACAGGAUUAGAUACCCCUGGUAG
rnacentral:rRNA from 1 species